AGAGUUUGAUCAUGGCUCAGAUUGAACGCUGGCGGCAUGCCUUACACAUGCAAGUCGAGCGGCAGCGCGGGGGCAACCCUGGCGGCGAGCGGCGGACGGGUGAGUAAUGCAUCGGAACGUGUCCUCUUGUGGGGGAUAACCAGUCGAAAGACUGGCUAAUACCGCAUGAGCUCGUAAGAGGAAAGCAGGGGACCCGCAAGGCCUUGCGCGAGAGGAGCGGCCGAUGCCCGAUUAGCUAGUUGGUGGGGUAAAAGCCUACCAAGGCGACGAUCGGUAGCUGGUCUGAGAGGACGACCAGCCACACUGGGACUGAGACACGGCCCAGACUCCUACGGGAGGCAGCAGUGGGGAAUUUUGGACAAUGGGGGCAACCCUGAUCCAGCCAUGCCGCGUGUGUGAAGAAGGCCUUCGGGUUGUAAAGCACUUUCGGACGGAACGAAAUCGCGCGGGUGAAUAUCCCGCGUGGAUGACGGUACCGUAAGAAGAAGCACCGGCUAACUACGUGCCAGCAGCCGCGGUAAUACGUAGGGUGCGAGCGUUAAUCGGAAUUACUGGGCGUAAAGUGUGCGCAGGCGGCGUCGCAAGUCGAGUGUGAAAUCCCCGAGCUUAACUUGGGAAUUGCGUUCGAAACUACGAUGCUAGAGUGUGGCAGAGGAAGGUGGAAUUCCACGUGUAGCGGUGAAAUGCGUAGAGAUGUGGAGGAACACCGAUGGCGAAGGCAGCCUUCUGGGCCAACACUGACGCUCAUGCACGAAAGCGUGGGGAGCAAACAGGAUUAGAUACCCUAGUAGUCC
rnacentral:rRNA from 1 species